rnacentral:rRNA from 1 species
UACGGAGGAUGCAAGCGUUAUCCGGAAUUAUUGGGCGUAAAGAGCUCGUAGGCGGUCUGUCGCGUCUGCUGUGAAAACUCGGGGCUUAACCCCGGGCCUGCAGUGGGUACGGGCAGACUAGAGUGCGGUAGGGGAGACUGGAAUUCCUGGUGUAGCGGUGAAAUGCGCAGAUAUCAGGGGGAACACCGGUGGCGAAGGCGGGUCUCUGGGCCGUAACUGACGCUGAGGAGCGAAAGCGUGGGGAGCGAACAGG